CCUACGGGUGGCAGCAGUGAGGAAUAUUGGUCAAUGGGCGAGAGUCUGAACCAGCCAAGUCGCGUGAGGGAUGACGGCCCUAUGGAUUGUAAACUUCUUUUAUCUGGGAGUAAAAUAUUCCACGUGUGGGGUUUUGUAUGUACCCUAUGAAUAAGGAUCGGCUAACUCCGUGCCAGCAGCCGCGGUAAUACGGAGGAUCCGAGCGUUAUCCGGAUUUAUUGGGUUUAAAGGGAGCGUAGGUGGAUAGUUAAGUCAGUUGUGAAAGUUUGCGGCUCAACCGUAAAAUUGCAGUUGAAACUGGUAGUCUUGAGUACAGUAGAGGUGGGCGGAAUUCGUGGUGUAGCGGUGAAAUGCUUAGAUAUCACGAAGAACUCUGAUUGCGAAGGCAGCUCACUGGCCUGCAACUGACACUGAGGCUCGAAAGUGUGGGUAUCAAACAGGAUUAGAUACCCGUGUAGUC
rnacentral:rRNA from 1 species